CAUAGGUUUGGUCCCAGCCUUCCUGUUAACUCUCAACAGACUUACACAUGCAAGCAUCCACGCCCCGGUGAGUAACGCCCUCCAAAUCAAUAAGACUAAGAGGAGCAGGUAUCAAGCACACAUCUUGUAGCUUACAACGCCUCGCUUAACCACACCCCUACGGGAGACAGCAGUGACAAAAAUUAAGCCAUAAACGAAAGUUUGACUAAGCCAUGUUGACCAGAGUUGGUAAAUCUCGUGCCAGCCACCGCGGUCAUACGAUUAACCCAAGCUAACAGGAAUACGGCGUAAAACGUGUUAAAGCACUACAUCAAAUAGAGUUAAAUUCUAAUUAAACUGUAAAAAGCCAUAAUUACAACAAAAAUAGAUGACGAAAGUAACCCUACUGCAGCUGAUACACUAUAGCUAAGACCCAAACUGGGAUUAGAUACCCCACUAUGCUUAGCCCUAAACACAAAUAAUUACAGAAACAAAAUUAUUCGCCAGAGUACUACCGGCAACAGCCCGAAACUCAAAGGACUUGGCGGUGCUUUAUACCCUUCUAGAGGAGCCUGUUCUAUAAUCGAUAAAC
rnacentral:rRNA from 1 species